rnacentral:misc_RNA from 1 species
AUUUACUAAAGGGCUCCAUACACUAGUGAACUUGGUUCUUGCAAACCAUUUGGUUCGCAAGUACCAAGUUUCCUAGUGUAUGUGGAAAAUUGGCGAACUGCGAGUCAAAUUCGUGACGAAUUUGGUCUUCAAUCUGGAUUAAAAACUUUGUUCGGUUCGUCCGCUUGGGGUAAUAUUGCACAUGUAAAUUUCAGAUCCUCCAAGCUCCUUCCAGUAGCUAGGUAGCGAAGUGUAGCUACGAGGCAGUGAUCAGGUGUUCUAAGUAGUGUAUCUCUCUUACUUAUUAGAGGCGUUACAAGAUAUAACAAGUUUCCUUUUUACAACACGGAGCUUCUCGCCAAAUGGUUGUCAGCCAUACGAAGGACAGGUUUCCUAGCAAAUAGGUACUCGACAAUCUGCAGUGUACAUUUCAAGAAGGAAGACCUGCUGAUGGUUCCAGGAGAGAAAAAGCCGAGGCUUCGCGAAUGGGCAGUGCCUUCUAUAUUUCCAGGGGUGUCCUACACUGUCAAGCAAGAUCCACUAGAACUAGAGAGCUUUCCAGAAACGCGGGAAGUCGCGACGCAAACUAGACACGUCGCCAGGAGAGAAAUUAUUGUCGCCGGAGUCAAAUUAUUGCGGAAACAAGAUGCCGGCACACAGACGUCAAAGAAAUACUACACUUCAUUAAUGUCAGCUAGUAAAAUGAGGCAGAAAGUCAGAAUCAAGCAGAAGGCAGUGAACAGAAAAUGCAAACGGAUUCUAAAAUUAAAAAAUAAAAUGGAUGAAAAUGGGAUAAUGAAUUCUGAGAUUGACAAGCUUGUAAUGGAAGUUUGUUUUGGCAAAACUGAUGAAACAUGAUGAAAAGCCAGAGGUGGUGAUUUAAAGUUUGCUUUGCUCAACAAACUGAAACUUACUCAGCAGGAACAUAGUAUGAUUACCGCAUCUGUCGACUGAGAGUGCCUGGAUAUACUGAAUCUUGAAUGUGAAUUUGAAUUUCAGAUCAAUUAUCCAAUCGAAUUUAUCCGAUUAUUAUCCUAUAAAGACGAAUGAAUUGGAUGAAAUGGCUACCAGACGAAAGCAAUGAACAUAUUCUGUUGUGGAGGUGUGCUUAAUUUGAAUCUGUAUUUAGUUGAGAACAAUAAAUUCAUAACGUACAAAUAUUACUAUGAUGGAUGAUACUAUUAUGGAAUGAUAUUUAAAAAGAGGCCCUGUUGCAGUGAAGCCUGUUUAAUUUUAAUCAAGAUUAAAUGCCAAAUAACCAAUCAGAGAAUCAUUUUUUCAAAAAGUCUUCUCUGAUUGGUCUUUUGGAAUUUAAUCGUGAUACAAUCUACAUUUAAGUUCACAAUCUAACAGGCUUUUGUGCAACCGGGUUUAAGACAUUCAAGUGAGUUUGUGUAAAGAGGAAGUUUAUGGAAAUAUUUUAAAAAUCUAGAUUGCCCUGGUUUCAAAAGACUGUGUAGAGCAAGUUGUCAAGAAUGUGAUAUUUUCUGUAAUAAAUUAUUGUUGACUGUCAUUAUGGCUACUAUUACUUCCAUAAUUGUUAAUUUGGUUCAUAGCUCAGUUCAAUGUUCAUGUUCUCUGACUAUCAAACCACACAAAAAAAACUCUUUCGAUUUAUUAAUAGCUUACUAUUUUACUAAAAUUUUUAUUAAUUAGGUAUUUUUAGUACCGGUAGGUGAAAAGUAAAAUAAUUUU